CCCCUCUCAGGGUUGCACCUGGAGAGUUUCCACUACUCCACCAGUCUCUGUUAUGGGAGGAAGAGUCAAGCAGAGACCUAUCCAUUCCAUUCCUAGCUUGGGCAGUGGCAAGAUAGUGGAAGGCAAUCUGCUACAAGU